GUGUUUGCUUCGGCAGUGCAUAUACUAAAAUUGGAAUGAUACAGACAAGUUUAGCAUGGCCCCUGCACAAGGAUGACAUCCAAAUUUGUGAAGUGUUCCAUAUUUUU
ensembl:snRNA U6 U6 spliceosomal RNA